UUAAUUAGCUUUUUUGAGAGAAGGUUUUAUCACAAACUUUACAAGAAUAUAAUUGUUGGACUCUGUGAGCUUUCAUGUGCCUUUUUUAGUUUGAACAAUCAGUUUU